GUCCUUUUGAAUUUAAUUUAAGGUUUGACCUGCCCACUGAUUUUUUGAAGGGCCGCAGUAAUUUGACUGUGCAAAGGUAGCAUAAUCAUUAGUUUUUUAAUUAAAAGCUUGUAUGAAGGGUUGGACGAGGUAAAUUCUGUCUCUAAUUAAUUUAUAUUAGAAUUUAAUUUUUAAGUUAAAAAGCUUAAAUAAGUUUAAAAGACGAGAAGACCCUAUAGAUCUUUAUAUUAUUAUUAUUAAUUUUAAUUAAGAUUAUUUUAUUUUUUAAUGAUACUAAUAUUUUAUUGGGGUAAUAAAGAGAUUUAAUUAAUUCUUUUUUUAUUUUUACAUAAAUAAAUGAUUGUAUGAUCCACUAUUAUUGAUUAAAAGAUUAAGUUACCUUAGGGAUAACAGCGUAAUUUUUUUAGAGAGUUCAUAUCGAUAAAAAAGUUUGCGACCUCGAUGUUGGAUUAAAAAUUAAUUUAGGUGUAGAAGCUUAAAUUUUUGGUCUGUUCGACCAUUGAAUUUUU
rnacentral:rRNA from 1 species